ensembl:lncRNA
CACAGGGUCACUACUGCGCAUUGCACUAUAGUGCAGGCUGAUGGAUGGAAGUUUGAUUGGAGUAAAUACCAGCGCCUUUGGACAAGUGUCGGAUCAUCAGCACUAACAGGAAAUGUCUACAUCUCUCUGCUGUUUCCUGUCUGUGGGCCUCCUCGUGUUUGUCUCUGCAGGUGAGAUUCAAAAAUUUAGAACCAAACUAUUUCCCACUAAGGGAGAGAAAAGUAAAGGAAAUCACUGUGGGUUUUCUAUUGAUUCGU